GCACAUCAUCAUGUUACUUUGUCAUAAUACAAGUCACUAAGUUUGAAACUGGAAAUGAAAUUUUGCUUUCAUUUUCUCAUCUAUUAAUCCAAAAUCCCCCAAUAACGGUACCCUAAGAUAUUCCCCCAAUGAUUUGGGCUCUGUGAAUAGGAAAACAUUGGAGUUCCCUAAAAAGGACAUAGCAUUACAAGCUGGAAUAGCACUAGAAAUAUGUGAUAUUGGUAGCAAACAAUUGGCAAGAAGUGCAUCUCUUGAAGAAGUGAAGUAGUUACUUUCCCAAUAAGUAUUAUAAGGUUGUGAAAUGCAAUUCACUGC
rnacentral:lncRNA from 1 species